CUGAACAUUUGUACAUUAAGCAAUCAUUUUUUUUGAACGAUACAGAAAUUAGCAUGGCCCCGUGCAUGGAUGACUUUCAAAUUCAUGAAGCAUUCCCUAUUUUU